UACGGGGGGGGCAAGCGUUGUUCGGAAUUACUGGGCGUAAAGGGCUCGUAGGCGGCCAACUAAGUCAGACGUGAAAUCCCUCGGCUUAACCGGGGAACUGCAUCUGAUACUGGAUGGCUUGAGUUCGGGAGAGGGAUGCGGAAUUCCAGGUGUAGCGGUGAAAUGUGUAGAUAUCUGGAGGAACACCGGUGGCGAAGGCGGCAUCCUGGACCGACACUGACGCUGAGGAGCGAAAGCCAGGGGAGCAAACGGG
rnacentral:rRNA from 1 species